CCAGUGUUUGUGACUAUGUCCUAUAAUCCCUAUAAUCCCUGUCCCUCUCUGGUGCUACCUAAGCAGAGAUAUUCACCGGAGAAAGACGCGAGCUAGCAGGCCCUCUGGAGCUAUGCGUCGGCUUCACAGCCGCAGAGUCCCACUGGCUGCCUGAAAAAAAAAUAGAAGGAGCUCCUAUUCAAACUUGGUUUUCGCCCUUUCUCCCAAUAGGCUGGCGCAAGUUAAAGGCUCAGCCUGGAACACCUCCCUCCCCGAGUGCUGAUUGGUCAGCUACGAUGGAAACUGAGUUUGCGAACC